AAGACAAAACAGUAUAUAAGUCGAAUUCACGAAACCUACAAUCAUUAUAUUGCUGAACUUCAAGUUUAUCGUCAGAUAUUAUACGAGUACAGCUUAUAUUCGGAAAAUACAUAAUGAUUAAAUAUAUUUGUAGCGCGUUACUUGUAACAAUGUUUGUGGAAAAUAGUUUACAAGAUGGAUGGGGAAAGAUAAAUAAAGCGAAUGACAUGAGCCAGAAUAAAGAUUCCUUAGAUUCACCAUCUGAUAUUCAACGAUUUAGCCAUUGGAGAGCGAACGAGGGAGAUGAAGUUCCAGAACCAGCUGAUGAUGAUAAUGGUGAUUUUAGUUCAUUACAAAAACAAAUGAAACAUUUUAAUAGAUCUCCACGUGAUUAUCCACGAUCCAACUAAUCAAGUCAAAAGAGAAAUGACAUAGAGUGGGAACAGCAUUAAUUUAAUUUCGUUUAUUUCUCGUCGCAAUAUUAUAUAAUAAAGCUUUUGAACAUUUUAA